AAUGAACGCUGGCGGCAUGCCUAACACAUGCAAGUCGAACGAAGGCUUCGGCCUUAGUGGCGCACGGGUGCGUAACGCGUGGGAAUCUGCCCUUGGGUUCGGAAUAACAGUUAGAAAUGACUGCUAAUACCGGAUGAUGUCGUAAGACCAAAGAUUUAUCGCCCAAGGAUGAGCCCGCGUAGGAUUAGCUAGUUGGGGGGGUAAAGGCCCACCAAGGCGACGAUCCUUAGCUGGUCUGAGAGGAUGAUCAGCCACACUGGGACUGAGACACGGCCCGUAGUCCUACGGGAGGCCGCAGUGGGGAAUAUUGGACAAUGGGCGAAAGCCUGAUCCAGCAAUGCCGCGUGAGUAAUGAAGGCCUUAGGGUUGUAAAAUUCUUUUCCCAGGGACGAUAAUGACGGUACCUGGAGAAAAAGCCCCGGCUAACUUCGUGCCAGCAGCCGCCGUAACAC
rnacentral:rRNA from 1 species